rnacentral:rRNA from 1 species
GACGAACGCUGGCGGCGUGCUUAACACAUGCAAGUCGAACGAAGUGGCGAAAGGGUGAGUAAUACGUGGGAACCUGCCCUCAUUUUGGGGAUAAGCCUUGGAAACGGGGUCUAAUACCGAAUAAGGGGGGAUGGGCUAGCGGCCUAUCAGCUUGGUGGUGGGGUGAUGGCGUACCAAGGCGGUGACGGGUAGCCGGCCUGAGAGGGUGACCGGCCACAUUGGGACUGAGAUACGGUCCAGACUCCUACGGGAGGCAGCAGUGGGGAAUAUUGGACAAUGGGCGAAAGCCUGAUCCAGCCAUGCCGCGUGUGUGAAGAAGGUCUUCGGAUUGUAAAGCACUUUAAGUUGGGAGGCGUUACCAACAGAAUAAGCACCGGCUAACUUCGUGCCAGCAGCCGCGGUAAUAC